UACGUAGGGAGCAAGCGUUGUCCGGAAUCAUUGGGCGUAAAGCGCGCGUAGGUGGCUUCGUAAGUCCGCUGUGAAAGUCAAAGGCUCAACCUUUGAAAGCCGGUGGAUACUGUGAAGCUAGAGUACGGAAGAGGCGAGUGGAAUUCCUGGUGGUAGCGGUGGAAUGCGCAGAUAUCAGGAGGAACACCAAUAGCGAAGGCAGCUCGCUGGGACGUUACUGACACUGAGGCGCGAAAGCGUGGGGAGCGAACAGG
rnacentral:rRNA from 1 species